rnacentral:rRNA from 1 species
GAUGAACGCACAAGACGUGCCUAACACAUGCAAAUCGAAUGAAAAUAAUUAAAUUGUUUUCAUGGUGAACGGGUGAGUAACACAUAAGAAUCAGCUUUUAGAUAAGGCAUAAAAGAGUAAUAUCUUGGUAAUUCCUUAUAUGCGCAGCAGUGCUUAAAAAGGGGAGUCCCGUCUAAAAACGAGCUUAUGCCUGAUUAGCUAGUUGGCGAGUUAAAAGCUCCCCAAGGCGAAGAUCAGUAGCUGGCCUGAGAGGGCGGCCAGCCACAUUGGGACUGAGACA